UCCAGGAUUCCAACCCACAUGGAAGCCAGGGAAACUGUACCCAUCAGGAAAGCUCUACCUUGCACCAGAAAAUAACUGGAUAUCAAAAAACAUACACCACCACCAGAGGGGAUAAAACCAGUUCAUGUCCAGAGAAAUGGGAACCACAUGGACACUUCUGUUACCUCUUCACUAAUGACUGGAAAUCCUGGCAAGAGAGUAAAGAUUAUUGUACUUCUUUGGACUCCAAACUCCUUGACAUCAAAAAUAAGGAAGAACUGGAGUUCUUCAAAUCAGUAUUACAUGUUCCCCACUGGAUUGGACUAUCUCGUCAGGCAGGCAAUGAGUCCUGGCUGUGGGAGGAUGGCACAGCUCUCUUCAA